rnacentral:miRNA from 1 species
AGAAAACCUUAUCUGGAUUUGU